rnacentral:rRNA from 1 species
CCUACGGGUGGCUGCAGUGAGGAAUAUUGGUCAAUGGACGAGAGUCUGAACCAGCCAAGUAGCGUGAAGGAUGACUGCCCUAUGGGUUGUAAACUUCUUUUAUAUGGGAAUAAAACGUUCCACGUGUGGGAUUUUGUAUGUACCAUAUGAAUAAGGAUCGGCUAACUCCGUGCCAGCAGCCGCGGUAAUACGGAGGAUCCGAGCGUUAUCCGGAUUUAUUGGGUUUAAAGGGAGCGUAGGUGGGUUGUUAAGUCAGUUGUGAAAGUUUGCGGCCAAACCGUAAAAUUGCAGUUGAAACUGGCAGUCUUGAGUAAAGUAGAGGUGGGCGGAAUUCGUGGGGUAGCGGUGAAAUGCUUAGAUAUCACGAAGAACUCCGAUUGCGAAGGCAGUUCACUGGACUGCAACUGACACUGAGGCUCGAAAGUGUGGGUAUCAAACAGGAUUAGAUACCCGAGUAGUC